CCUACGGGAGGCAGCAGUAGGGAAUCUUCCACAAUGGGCGAAAGCCUGAUGGAGCAACGCCGCGUGGGUGAAGAAGGUCUUCGGAUCGUAAAACCCUGUUGUUAGAGAAGAAAGUGCGUGAGAGUAACUGUUCACGUUUCGACGGUAUCUAACCAGACAGCCACGGCUAACUACGUGCCAGCAGCCGCGGUAAUACGUAGGUGGCAAGCGUUAUCCGGAUUUAUUGGGCGUAAAGGGAACGCAGGCGGUCUUUUAAGUCUGAUGUGAAAGCCUUCGGCUUAACCGGAGUAGUGCAUUGGAAACUGGGAGACUGGAGUGCAGAAGAGGAGAGUGGAACUCCAUGUGUAGCGGUGAAAUGCGUAGAUAUAUGGAAGAACACCAGUGGCGAAAGCGGCUCUCUGGUCUGUAACUGACGCUGAGGUUCGAAAGCGUGGGUAGCAAACAGGAUUAGAUACCCCUGUAGUC
rnacentral:rRNA from 1 species